AUGUACGGUUGUCAUGCCUAUAUGGUCCCGUGAAGGCUUCACUCGGUGUUUUCGCCCCGGUUAAGGAUAAUUCCUCUAAACCAGUGGCGGUUCAACGCGUGAUGCUGCGUCACAGUGCACCUGAUGGCAUGUGAGUGGUGUUUGGGUCGUGCGGGUUGGUAGGCUCCUUGCUCGUGCAACGAACUAUCGCCGCACGCCCCUGGUCAGUCUUAAGCUUCAAGCGCAUCAACAAGCCUUGGGCAUAGCAAUAUCGCGGUUCCUGUGUUGCCUACCUAAUGAAUGGAAUUGUCCCCGAAACGGUUGCCUCUCUCCGCCUUGCGCCGCUCUUGCGGUGCAGGCGGACCUCGAAAGCGGUCAUCGUGUUCCGUGCUCUCCCCCCGCGCAUGCAUGUGCACACGCAAGGGGUUGGGCCCGGCCCACGACGGUCGCUCGUGCCCUCGGAUGCGGAACAUCAAAACGGGCGUGGGGUCUCAGGAUCCCAACACUCGCUCGAGCUAAGCGUUCGUCGCUAGACACGCACGACGGCCGCGAACGUCUUUGCCCCCCUCGUCGUCCCUGCGGGGCCUCGACCGGGCGCAUGCGUCGCCGGCGUCGCACACGAAUGC
rnacentral:misc_RNA from 1 species